AACGAACGCUGGCGGCAGGCUUAACACAUGCAAGUCGAACGCAUACUUCGGGGUGAGUGGCAGACGGGUGAGUAACGCGUGGGAACGUGCCCUUCAGUUCGGGAUAACCCAGGGAAACUUGGGCUAAUACCGGAUACGUGCGAGAGCAGAAAGAUUUAUCGCUGAAGGGUCGGCCCGCGUCUGAUUAGCUAGUUGGUGGGGUAAUGGCCCACCAAGGCGACGAGCAGUAGCUGGGCUGAGAGGAUGAUCAGCCACAUUGGGACUGAGACACGGCCCAGACUCCUACGGGAGGCAGCAGUGGGGAAUAGUGGAAACUGGGCGCGAGCCUGGUCCAGCCAUGCCGCGUGAGUGAUGAAGGCCUUAGGGUUGUAAAGCUCUUUCGUCCGGGACGAUAAUGACGGUACCGGAAGAAGAAGCCCCGGCUAACUUCGUGCCAGCCGCCGCAGUAACAC
rnacentral:rRNA from 1 species